CGCCUUAUUCUCCUACGGGAGGCAGCAGUGGGGAAUUUUGGACAAUGGGGGCAACCCUGAUCCAGCAAUGCCGCGUGAGUGAAGAAGGCCUUCGGGUUGUAAAGCUCUUUUGUCAGGGAAGAAACGGUAGUAGCUAAUAUCUAUUACUAAUGACGGUACCUGAAGAAUAAGCACCGGCUAACUACGUGCCAGCAGCCGCGGUAAUACGUAGGGUGCAAGCGUUAAUCGGAAUUACUGGGCGUAAGGCGUGCGCAGGCGGUUGUGUAAGUCAGAUGUGAAAUCCCCGGACUCAACCUGGGAAUUGCAUUUGAGACUGCACGGCUAGAGUGUGUCAGAGGGGGGUAGAAUUCCACGUGUAGCAGUGAAAUGCGUAGAUAUGUGGAGGAAUGCCGAUGGCGAAGGCAGCCCCCUGGGAUAACACUGACGCUCAUGCACGAAAGCGUGGGGAGCAAACAGGAUUAGAUACCCUAGUAGUCCACGUACCA
rnacentral:rRNA from 1 species